rnacentral:rRNA from 1 species
GCACAGAGGAGCUUGCUCCUCGGGUGACGAGUGGCGGACGGGUGAGUAAUGUCUGGGGAUCUGCCCGAUAGAGGGGGAUAACCACUGGAAACGGUGGCUAAUACCGCAUAACGUCGCAAGACCAAAGAGGGGGACCUUCGGGCCUCUCACUAUCGGAUGAACCCAGAUGGGAUUAGCUAGUAGGCGGGGUAACGGCCCACCUAGGCGACGAUCCCUAGCUGGUCUGAGAGGAUGACCAGCCACACUGGAACUGAGACACGGUCCAGACUCCUACGGGAGGCAGCAGUGGGGAAUAUUGCACAAUGGGCGCAAGCCUGAUGCAGCCAUGCCGCGUGUAUGAAGAAGGCCUUCGGGUUGUAAAGUACUUUCAGCGGGGAGGAAGGCGAUGUGGUUAAUAACCGCAUUGAUUGACGUUACCCGCAGAAGAAGCACCGGCUAACUCCGUGCCAGCAGCCGCGGUAAUACGGAGGGUGCAAGCGUUAAUCGGAAUUACUGGGCGUAAAGCGCACGCAGGCGGUCUGUUAAGUCAGAUGUGAAAUCC